rnacentral:rRNA from 1 species
AACCUUUACAAUGUGAGAAAUCAUGAUAAGGUGACCCCGAGUGCCAGCACCAAGUGUUGGCUGUCCUGCUGUCUAAAAAACAGCGGUUAGCAAGGGCCGGGCAAGACCGGUGCCAGCCGCCGCGGUAACACCGGCGGCCCGAGUGGUAGCCACUAUUAUUGGGUUUAAAGGGUUCGUAGCCGGCAUAUUAAGUCUCUUGGGAAAUCUGGCGACUUAAUCGUCAGCAGGCCAAGAGAUACUGGCAUGCUUGGGACCGGGAGAGGUGAGAGGUACUCCAUGGGUAGGGGUGAAAUCUUGUAAUCCUUGGAGGACCACCAAUGGCGAAGGCAUCUCACCAGAACGGGUCCGACGGUGAGGGACGAAAGCUAGGGGCACGAACCGG